rnacentral:rRNA from 1 species
AUUGAACGCUGGCGGCAGGCCUAACACAUGCAAGUCGAAUGGUAACAGGAAACUGCUUGCUGUUUCGCUGACGAGUGGCGGACGGGUGAGUCAUGUCUGGGAAACUGCCUGAUGGAGGGGGAUAACUACUGGAAACGGUAGCUAAUACCGCAUAACGUCGCAAGCCCAAAGAGGGGGACCUUCGGGCCUCUUGCCAUCAGAUGUGCCCAGAUGGGAUUAGCUAGUAGGUGGGGUAACGGCUCACCUAGGCGACGAUCCCUAGCUGGUCUGAGAGGAUGACCAGCCACACUGGAACUGAGACACGGUCCAGACUCCUACGGGAGGCAGCAGUGGGGAAUAUUGCACAGAGGGCGCAAGCCUGAUGCAGCCAUGCCGCGUGUAUGAAGAAGGCCUUCGGGUUGUAAAGUACUUUCAGCGGGGAGGAAGGGAGUAAAGUUAAUACCUUUGCUGAUUGACGGUACCCGCAGAAGAAGCACCGGCUAACUCCGUG